AACACAAGAUGGCUGCUACGCCGCCACGCAAGGUCAUGUGACCUCCCUGCCGUGACUCCACCCCUUCCCCCGCAGGCUGGGGACGAGAAAAACGGGCUGGUUUAGCGAAGAAGCAAUCUAGAGCGUGAGCGCCAACGGCGGCGGCUCCGGUAGGAAGAACAACGCUUUGUCCCCUCGUUCAUCUCGGAACGAGAAAGCUGGAGCCUCAAUGGCAGCACCCAGGGGUGGGGAGAAGAGACUUAGAUCAGGAAAAAGGCAUGUCCUACCUGCUCACCUUUUCUGAUAAAAUCUGAAGCCCUUUGUGAUUUAAGAUCAAAUUGUCUAUUUAUGAAUAAUCCAAGUCCAAAGAAGAACCCGAAAGGAAGCUAACUCCAUUGCAACUGUUCCAUGUCCACUGGUAUGACCCUGGCUAACAUAAGAGCCCAAUGCCCAUGUGGUCGGUCCAUCAUUCUAGUCUCAAAGUAGCCCAACAGAUGCUCAUGGAAAGUCUAUGACAACAACAUCAUGACAACACUCUCCCCUAUGAAGGCUGAUUUCUUCACAUGCCACAGGGUCCCCUGACUUAACCCUUUUCAUUUGCCAAAUGAUCCUAUGGCACUUGAGGAAACUAUACUGGAUAGCCAGGAGCUAGGAGAAUAUGGAGGGUCAAGCUUUUGUGUGACUGGUCUGGAAAAAUGUCUCAGGGUGCCCCACUACCUGGCUAUUAUCCUGUCCCUUUUCCAUGCCUCCUCUCCCCCAUCUCUUGCUUACAUUUUCAACAGUGGGUUUGUGACAUACCACUCCAUAGCACCUUAUUAAUUUUCUCCACUGAUUUCUUCUGGCUGAUGCUAAAUGCAGUGACUUCACCAACCAUGGCUUAUCGGGAUCGAGAUAAUCCUGAUAAUCACCAGAUUAUGGCUGUGAUCAAGCAACAUGCUAGCGCAUGCAGCCCUACCACUUCUAAUUGCUCCAGUUCUGUUCCUCCCCUGGCUCAAGCAACAAGCCAUCAAAAUCUUGGCUCGCCAUUACAUCAGAACCUGGGAUGGUGCUUUGUUUUCACCUAAUAAAGCACAAUUGGUAGCCAACAUGAAAGUGGUUUGUUAGGGAGAAGCAAAUCACAAUCCCAGUUCAGUUAUGACAAGCCAAGGCUUCAUUGGUUGUCGCCCUUGCCCAGCCCAGGGGAGGACCAAAACCAGAGUGACCAUGUUAAGGAGCAUACUCAAUCCCAGUAAGCCAUACGUGUGCACAGUGCUUAGAAACAAUUAGUUAUGAAAAACAAAUUACUUGUACUUUAUUACUUUUUUGAGGAACGAGUGGGUAGUUUCUUUACAGUUUGAUUGUAAUAAUUUUAUUAUUUUUGAGGUGUAAUUGUAACGUUUCCAACAUUCCUUUUGGACAUUAUGGAGGGGAGCAGGGGAAGUCUUUUACUCCGAUUUGUGAAUGAAAUUCAUGUGCCCCAAAAUGGGCUUCUGCACAAUGUCACUCUUCCCUCAUGCUCUGUGGGUGUUUAGGAGGUGACAAGGGAAGAGGUGGAGACCAAGAUGGGGGUGCAGUGGAGAGAAAAAGGAGCCAGAGUGCAAGAAUGUGGAUGAAGGAGGCAGCAGUAGAAUGGAGAUAAAGAACUGUGGAGGUGAGAGACGUGUGUGUGUGUGUGUGUGUGUGUGUGUGUGUGUGUGUGUGUGUGCG